rnacentral:lncRNA from 1 species
CGCCGCAGCCGCACGGGACAAGGCUGGAGGCGGUGCCCGGGGCCGUCCCGGGGAAGGAGGCCGCCUGCCACAAGCAGCGCAGGAGCCCGGCACUUCUGACCUCCGUACCUCUUUCAGCCGGCUUUCCUGAUCGGACCGGCUCGAGGACGAGGGCGUUUCAGAUCGUCAGGUCUUCACUGGGGACUGCCCUCCCCAUGGCAUCCCGGAUGGCUUGGAAGGCUUGGGCCGUGGUCGGGUCCCAUCGGGCUGGAGAUUCAGUCCGAUGAGGUGUGGCGGGGGUCGGUGGACCCCAGAAACAUGGGCCUGAGACCCUCGAGGAGGGGGGUCAGCAGAACAGUCCCCUGCUCCGUGAGCUCACCGCCCCCCUUGGACAUGGGCCACCCACCAAGGGGCCCUGCCUUGGUCUCCAACUCCAGGAUCCCCUGUUUCUCAGCGCUGCUGAUGUAGAAGGCACUACCGCUGAGGGCCCCUGCUUUGCCAAGCCGCUGAGACGGUACCGCAGGCCAUGGUGGCAGUCACUGUCACGCGAGCCUCGGCCACAUGCAGCGCAAACACAAGCACACACACGUGAACACACACGGAGACAUGCAAACAGACACACGCACAUGCACACACAGACACACACACGGAGACUAAGCCACGCGGAGAAAUCCAACAGUCGCGGGCAGCUCCUGAGGCUGUGCGGUUCUGCUCUCUUCCGGGAAGCCCCUCGGGGUUAGAGCAGCCCCGCAGCACACAGGCUGACCUUACCUUUAAUUCCCAGCGGGGACAGCCUUCAAGGAGACGCACCCCAAGAUCGUCUGGGCAGGCCUGAAUCAUCUAGGGGGUCCUUGGGGAUCCCUCGCCCUGGGCAUCCGUAAAGGUCCGCUGGACCUUUCCUCAGCCCGGUUCCGCCAAGCCGGAAUCCGGAAAUCGCGGGACCGCUGCGACGAUCUCCGUGAAGCGGGGUCCGUCGCCCAACGUCCAGGAACUGCCGCAGCGGGCCCCUGCCUUUCCAAGACGCUGAGACGGUUCCCCCGGACACGGCGGCCGUCACUGUGAGGCGAGUCCCUGCUCAGCGCUCCGCUUCUGAUGCCCC